AUAGACAUAGCGUAGGCUAGUUGAAGUGGUUUAUGAAAAGGAAAAUCAUGAUAUUACGAAUUGAAGUUGUCCAAAGAGAAAUAUCAGUUUAAUUGGACAAUUUGACAGAGUUACAAUACUGGAGAAACUGGGAUUUACAAAGUCAUUUUGAACUAAAUAAUAUAGCAAAAAUAAGUACAGAACUGGUACAAUUAGAAAUACGGGGAAAUCUACACAUUAUGUAAAAUACUAAAAUAAGUACAGAACUGGUACGAUUAGAAAUACAGAAAAAUCUACACAUUAUGUAAAAUGCUAAAAUAAGUACAGAAUUGGUACAAUUAGAAAUAGCAGACUUGUGACGCACUAAUCAGAUUAUCCUGAUUAAGCUUGGACUUGUCGCAGGAUACACAAGCAUCAAGAUGAAGGACGGAUAAUAUACAACAUCUAGUUUGAUAAUGCACUUGUUCUUGGAGUAACCUGCAACAAAGCAACCAUUCAUUUCCAUCUUCUGUUAAAUUUGAGACAACAGCUUGCUCUGCUGCAGGUACUGCUAAAGUAUAGGAUUAAGAUUCUCUAUGUUUCUUUCUUGUCUAAAUAUAGAAAGGAAUAAGAAAAAAUAUAUCCUGAUAAAUGCUAUUGACAAAAUUCUGCAAAGUCCUAGCUCGUGCAAACUAACGAUGAUGUUUCCCUACCACCAUGAAAGAGGAAGAUAAAUUAGGAACGUAAAUAAUCAUUUUGCGUAGCCUGUGACUAUACUCAAAUAUAUUAUCACAGAACACGAAAACCAGAGAUGUUGCGUAAAUUAAAGGGAUCAAGAAAUAAAUUAUAAACAAAUUAGGACCAUCAACUUUUCUACCGGAAGAGUUCAUCGCUUAUCACCUCUUUGUCCACCAGAACCUGCUUUGUC
rnacentral:lncRNA from 1 species